CGCACGGGUGCGUAACACGUGGGUAACCUGCCCUCCAAAGGGGGAUAACCCCGCGAAAGCGGGGCUAAUACCGCAUGACAUUCCAAAUUCUUCGGAAUUCGGAUUCAAAGCCCGCAAGGGCGUUGGGGGAGGGGCCCGCGGCCGAUUAGCUUGUUGGCGAGGUAACGGCUCACCAAGGCAAUGAUCGGUAGCCGGUCUGAGAGGAUGGCCGGCCACACUGGAACUGAGACACGGUCCAG
rnacentral:rRNA from 1 species